GGCCAAUGUGGAAGGGAUAGGAUUUCUGCAGCACAGCAACUGGCUGCAUCUGGGUGGUUAUGCAGGCCUCUCCCUCCUUCCUGUGACUUCCAGGCUGGCCCAUAGGACCUUGCCCUGGGAAUCUUAGUGUAUGCUUUCCUUUCAUUUAGGGUUCUAGAAAAGCAACACCCAAAUUUCAUCUAAAGCGACAACAGCAAUGCUAGGAAACCUCACACAUCCCAAAUUACACACCUUCAUCCGGUGCCUGUGUACUUGACUUUGAGCUCUGCAGAAGUUGGAACUGCAGUCCUGCAGUUGCUAAAGACCAGGCUCUGCCCCUGACAUGAUGCAUGUCUACUCCCUAGGGAUGACCCUCUACUGGGCCGCUGGAUUCCAUGUCCCACCAAGCCAGGUUUGUAGAUGAGGACGCCAGUCAUGACUCAGUUUAGUGACACAAGUCAGAGCUGGAGGGCAACAGAAGAGUCACUUGUUGUCUUUGCUCAGAGGGAGCAGCAGCCCCUGCAGUUCUGCCAGCCCUUGCAUGCCCUGCUGCUGGCCAUGUGUGAGGACCAGCCCGGCAGGCGGUACCUGCUGCAUGCCAUCCUGGAAGCCUGUCAGGCCCAUCAGGAGGAAGUGGCUGCAUACCCAGCUCCUGCCAGCCUUCAUGUGCAAUGGCUGGUGGGCUUGGUUCUGGGCACCAUCUCUGAGGUGGAGAGAAGAGUUGUGGAAGGAGAUGCCUACACACUGCAGAGCAGAAGCUACCUGCUCAGGAAGAGGCUGCAGCCACAGAGAGGCAGGAGCCCCGAGGCACAGGCCCUGGACUGUGUGCAGCCCCACAGAGGUGUGUCUGUGGGGAUCUGGAGCUCCCCGCGUGGGCCAGGGUCCCCUUCCCUGACCCCUGUCCUGGGCAGGCAGACACUCUGUGCAUGCAGCAGCAAACAAAGUCCCUGGAGAAAGGGGGCUGAGCUCCAGUGCCCCCAGGAUGAUUUUAACAAUUUAACUCUCUGUUUAUAUCAAAUGUGAACUCUCUCUAUGGAAGUCUAACUGUCCAAGUGGAUGAGAACAGAUUAAAAGAAGCAAGAAAAGAAGAAAAGCUUUUAACACUUACUUUCCAAGUGAAAUGAAAGAAAAAGUAACUUGUAAAAGUUUUUUUUUUUUUUGGUACCGGAGAUCGAACUCAGGUCCUUGCACUUGCGCAGCAGGUGGCAAAACCACUGAGCUAAAUCCCUGGCCUGUAAAAGUUUUGAAAAAUAUUUUUGUUACUAUUUCAAGUAUCUUAAAAGAGUAGCUUUUAAAAUAACCUUAGCCAGGUGGUGCAUGCCUGUAAUCUCUGCACUCGGGAAGCUGAAGCAGGAGGAUCAUCAUGUAGUCUGGGCUAUAGAGUGAGUUCAAGGGCACCCUGAACUACAUGACUCAAAAACAAAAACAGAAGCAAACAAACAAAAAGCCCUUCAAAUCCUCUACUUAUCAACUGAAUCUGAACUUGCUGCCCUUUUCCCUCUCUUCCUCCCUCCCUCUCUCCUCUUUCUUUUUCUUUCUUUCUUUCUUUCUUUCUUUCUUUCUUUCUUUCUUUCUUUCUUUCUUUCUUUCUUUCUUUCUUUCUUUCUUUCCUUUUGUGUCCCACUGCUCUUUGCCAUUAUGCUUUAUGUCCUCUGUAAUGCUGUUUCCACCCCUGUGACUAUCUUUUCCAUCUUUUACAUGAGAAUACAGGCUCAGAGAGGUUCAGUAAUCUCCCCAAGGGUGCACAGCCAAUAAAUCAUGGUGUUGGGCCUGAUUUUUAGCUCAGUGAUUUUGUUGCCUGCUGCGCAAGUGCAAGGACCCGAGUUCUAUCCCUGGUACCAAAAAAAAAAAAAAAAUCGUGGUGUUACCCAAGCUCCUGGCUGCCUGGUUCACGGAAACCAUGCCCUUUGCCCCCAGCUGUGCCUCCACCAUACUGUUUGGUUAGUUUCAGAGCUAAGCACAGAGACGCAGAGCCACCAGGUGCCCCGCUGGAGCAGCUCAGCACACAGCCGCUGCAGCCUGUUUGAGAACAGGUGAGCCGUAAGGUGAUAGCCCAGGGACCUGGUGCAGGGCAUUGGCACUGCAGCCAUGCAUAUCCUGCUUCUUUGCUGGUCACACUGAGAGGCCUCCUGUCCUCCAGCAAAUCCCAGUGCUGCUGCAUCAGCAAAGGAAGAAGGCAGGCUCACACAGGUGUCGAGGGGCCCUAUGUCCAAUGGGAACCGAGCCUCACUUGGCUCAGGGAUGAGAACUAGGCCUUGGUGUGGAUGCAGUUGUCCAUGGCCACACUUGGCGGCAAGGCAAAUGGCCAGUGUGACCCACUUACUGGGCUCAAGGUCUGUGAGUUGGGGACCCGGCUCUGCUUCCCCAGAGGACUCUGCUGUCUGAUGGGUGCCAUCCUGCAUGUGUAGCCAGCUGAGCUCAGCUGGCAGCUUAGUGUCAGGGAACCCUGGCCCUUCUCUACCAGCAGCCAGGCUGGGACAGCUGUCAGGACAGUGGCGGAGGGGGGAGGGAGGGAAGAAGCAAGGCAAGUAGGGAGGGGGAAAGAGAGAGGAGAAAGAGAGAGAAGAGAAAGGAGUUAAAGAGCUUCCAGAAUGGGUUCUCCACCACUUCUACCUCAUUCCUUUGGCCAAAUCAGGCCUUGAGAAGUUCAGCUGAGCAGGUAUGCUGGCACAUGUCUGUAAUCCUAGCACCUGGGAGGCUGAGGCAGAAGGAUUGCCAUGAGUUCAAGGCCAGCCUGGGCUGUAUAGUAAGACACUAUCUCAAAAAACAACUACAAUGAAAAGUUUGGCCCAGAUUCAUGGGGUUGGGAGCUGGACUCCAUCUUUGGGUGGGAGGAACAAAGUCACUGCAAUGGGCAGGGACGGGGAGAAGAAUCGGGGUCUUUUCUGCAGUCAGUCUAAUCCUGGUGCUUAGAUCAAAUCCCAUCCAGUCCUGUAUCUCCCUGGAGCUGAGACACUGUGUGUUUGAGGUUUGAGGAUUUGCUGAUUUUCAUAUGGAUUCGGGAAGGCCAGUGAUGGUGUCUUGUCUUUGUGUGGUCCAGUGGGUCCAUGCAUGGUGUCACAUCUACAGCCGGGCCUUGACCAGAUGUUAGAGCUCACCUCACAGUCAUUCUUUUUGCUGCUUAAAACCAAUAGAAACAGCCAAUAAAGACAGUGCCCCUAACACUCUAAUUAAAUAUAGCCUCCAGGACUGGUGAUUUAGCUCAGUGGUUCCAGCGCCUGCCUCCAAAGUGCAAGGUCCCGAGUUUGAUACCUGACACCAAAAAAACCACCCAAAACCCCCUGAAAAACCCAGAUUCCAGCCCUUAAUGGUGGGACCGUGCUGAGAGAGCAUCAUUAGGUGAUUAUACAGACCUCAGUGUACAAUCACCUAGGUCCUAUGGCACACACACACACGUGUACAUACAUGUGUGCACAUGCAUGUGUGAAUACAUAUGAUACAACCAAAUGCUGCUAGGUUCACAGUGGACAGGACAGCCUCAUAUUAACCACAGAUUAAGAGACAAUGAUCAAUCAGGAGCUGCAGAAGGUACUGCCACAAGCCAAGGCAGACUUUCACAUGGGAAACCUUAAUAACUAUAAGAAUGCAUUCAAAAACAACAGUGAAAAUUGUGGUAUUAUAAAUACAUAAACCAGUAACAUUGCCAGGUCUGAUCAUUGCCCAUGACCAUAAUGGUGCUGUAUGGCUGUAAGGGAUUGUAUCUGCUGUCUUUUUAUGCACCUGGCAGCUCAGUGGGUUUGUGUACAGCAGCGUCCCCACAGACAGAAGGUGUGGUGCUUUGACCUCGCAGCGGCUUUGACCUCACCAGGUGAUGGGACUUUUUCAGCUCUAUUAUAGUCCUGUGGGACCACUGUCACACAUGCAGUCUACUGUUGACUGAAACAUUAUUAUGCAGUGCAUCACUGCAGGUUGAUUGUCAAAACAUUUUGAACAAUAUAUAAAAUUUGAAGGAAGGAAGUCAGAAUCCCUGGUAUUUUCAUGAUGUACUCAGAGGUUACUGGGGACCUGGGGCCAUAGCACCCACAGCAUAGAGGCAGAGUCCUGGGGUAGGGGAGAAGCAAACACCUGAGGGUGUCUGGCUUUAGCUUCCUCUGACCUUGAUUUCCCCAUCUGAAAAGCAGGUGCGGUCCUCCCCUGUGGAUAUGAUAACUUCCUGGCAUGUGCGGGAUGACGAGGGUUUGAAAAGUGGGUGCACCCUGCCCUGCUGAGUGCCUGCAUGUGGUGGCAGUCACAGGACAGGAUGGGCAUCACCACCCUGCUCCUUGCCCCUCCUGGCUGUGGCCAGCACUCUUGCAGGCACAGCACCCCUCAGGCAGCAGGACAGGGGGUGGCUCAGCUUGGGAUCUGUGCUCCUGGCAGAGGCAGAGAGCUCACAGCCAGCGACGGCCCAGCAGAGUUCCCUGCAGAGGAAGGGAAAGGUGAGCAGAAGAGACUCUGGGGCCUCCGCAGGGGGGUUGGGCAGCACUGUGGUACACAGGCUGAAGGUGGGCAGGGCUCCUGUCCUCCAGCAAAUCCCAGUGCUGCUGCAUCAGCAAAGGAAGAAGGCAGGCUCACACAGGUGUCGAGGGGCCCUAUGUCCAAUGGGAACCGAGCCUCACUUGGCUCAGGGAUGAGAACUAGGCCUUGGUGUGGAUGCAGUUGUCCAUGGCCACACUUGGCGGCAAGGCAAAUGGCCAGUGUGACCCACUUACUGGGCUCAAGGUCUGUGAGUUGGGGACCCGGCUCUGCUUCCCCAGAGGACUCUGCUGUCUGAUGGGUGCCAUCCUGCAUGUGUAGCCAGCUGAGCUCAGCUGGCAGCUUAGUGUCAGGGAACCCUGGCCCUUCUCUACCAGCAGCCAGGCUGGGACAGCUGUCAGGACAGUGGCGGAGGGGGGAGGGAGGGAAGAAGCAAGGCAAGUAGGGAGGGGGAAAGAGAGAGGAGAAAGAGAGAGAAGAGAAAGGAGUUAAAGAGCUUCCAGAAUGGGUUCUCCACCACUUCUACCUCAUUCCUUUGGCCAAAUCAGGCCUUGAGAAGUUCAGCUGAGCAGGUAUGCUGGCACAUGUCUGUAAUCCUAGCACCUGGGAGGCUGAGGCAGAAGGAUUGCCAUGAGUUCAAGGCCAGCCUGGGCUGUAUAGUAAGACACUAUCUCAAAAAACAACUACAAUGAAAAGUUUGGCCCAGAUUCAUGGGGUUGGGAGCUGGACUCCAUCUUUGGGUGGGAGGAACAAAGUCACUGCAAUGGGCAGGGACGGGGAGAAGAAUCGGGGUCUUUUCUGCAGUCAGUCUAAUCCUGGUGCUUAGAUCAAAUCCCAUCCAGUCCUGUAUCUCCCUGGAGCUGAGACACUGUGUGUUUGAGGUUUGAGGAUUUGCUGAUUUUCAUAUGGAUUCGGGAAGGCCAGUGAUGGUGUCUUGUCUUUGUGUGGUCCAGUGGGUCCAUGCAUGGUGUCACAUCUACAGCCGGGCCUUGACCAGAUGUUAGAGCUCACCUCACAGUCAUUCUUUUUGCUGCUUAAAACCAAUAGAAACAGCCAAUAAAGACAGUGCCCCUAACACUCUAAUUAAAUAUAGCCUCCAGGACUGGUGAUUUAGCUCAGUGGUUCCAGCGCCUGCCUCCAAAGUGCAAGGUCCCGAGUUUGAUACCUGACACCAAAAAAACCACCCAAAACCCCCUGAAAAACCCAGAUUCCAGCCCUUAAUGGUGGGACCGUGCUGAGAGAGCAUCAUUAGGUGAUUAUACAGACCUCAGUGUACAAUCACCUAGGUCCUAUGGCACACACACACACGUGUACAUACAUGUGUGCACAUGCAUGUGUGAAUACAUAUGAUACAACCAAAUGCUGCUAGGUUCACAGUGGACAGGACAGCCUCAUAUUAACCACAGAUUAAGAGACAAUGAUCAAUCAGGAGCUGCAGAAGGUACUGCCACAAGCCAAGGCAGACUUUCACAUGGGAAACCUUAAUAACUAUAAGAAUGCAUUCAAAAACAACAGUG
rnacentral:lncRNA from 1 species